rnacentral:rRNA from 1 species
UGAAUUUUGAAGGGCCGCGGUAUUUCUGACCGUGCGAAGGUAGCAUAAUCAUUAGUCUUUUAAUUUGAGGCUUGUAUGAAUGGUCGGACGAGGGAUAAACUGUUUUCAAGUAAAAAAAUUUGAACUUAACUUUUAAGUGAAAAGGCUUAAAUGUCUCAAAAAGACGAUAAGACCCUAUAAAUCUUAACAUUAAUUAUUAUGGUAUUCUAAAUUAUUAGUUCAAAGAAAACGAUAAAUAUAAUGUUAUGUUGGGGCAACAAAGAUAUAAAAAAUUUAACUGUUUUAAUAAAUUAACAACUAUCAUUGACACUUCAUAGAUCCUCCUUACAGAUUCAAAGAUCAAGUUACUUUAGGGAUAACAGCGUUAUUCUUUUUAAGAGUCCCCAUCGAAAAAAGAGUUUGCGACCUCGAUGUUGAAUUAGAAGAUCU